rnacentral:rRNA from 1 species
AACGAACGCUGGCGGCGCGCCUAAUACAUGCAAGUCGAGCGAGAAGACGUAGCAAUACGUUUGUAAAGCGGCGAACGGGUGAGGAAUACAUGGGUAACCUACCCUCGAGUGGGGAAUAACUAGCCGAAAGGUUAGCUAAUACCGCGUACGCUCCUUGGACUUCGGUUCAGGGAGGAAAGCGAUACCGUGGGUAUCGCGCUCUUGGAUGGGCUCAUGUCCUAUCAGCUUGUUGGUGAGGAACGGCUCACCAAGGCUUCGACGGGUAGCUGGUCUGAGAGGACGAUCAGCCACACUGGCACUGCGACACGGGCCAGACUCCUACGGGAGGCAGCAGUAAGGAUAUUGCGCAAUGGGCGAAAGCCUGACGCAGCGACGCCGCGUGGGGGAUG